GGCGGACGGGUGAGUAACGCGUAGGAAUCUGCCUAGUAGAGGGGGACAACAUGUGGAAACGCAUGCUAAUACCGCAUAAUCCCUAAGGGGGAAAGGAGGGGACUCAUUUGAGCCUUCCGCUAUUAGAUGAGCCUGCGUGAGAUUAGCUAGUUGGUAGGGUAAAGGCCUACCAAGGCGACGAUCUCUAGCUGGUCUGAGAGGAUGACCAGCCACACUGGGACUGAGACACGGCCCAGACUCCUACGGGAGGCAGCAGUGGAGAAUAUUGGACAAUGGGGGGAACCCUGAUCCAGCCAUGCCGCGUGUGUGAAGAAGGCCUUAGGGUUGUAAAGCACUUUCAGGAGGGAGGAAAGGAUGACGGUUAAUACCUGUUAUCUGUGACGUUACCUUCAGAAGAAGCACCGGCUAACUCUGUGCCAGCAGCCGCGGUAAUACAGAGGGUGCAAGCGUUAAUCGGAAUUACUGGGCGUAAAGCGCGC
rnacentral:rRNA from 1 species